GCGGGCGGCGUGCUAUAAUGCAGUCGAGCGAACUGAUUAGAAGCUUGCUUCUAUGACGUUAGCGGCGGACGGGUGAGUAACACGUGGGCAACCUGCCUGUAAGACUGGGAUAACUUCGGGAAACCGAAGCUAAUACCGGAUAGGAUCUUCUCCUUCGUGGGAGAUGAUUGAAAGAUGGUUUCGGCUAUCACUUACAGAUGGGCCCGCGGUGCAUUAGCUAGUUGGUGAGGUAACGGCUCACCAAGGCAACGAUGCAUAGCCGACCUGAGAGGGUGAUCGGCCACACUGGGACUGAGACACGGCCCAGACUCCUACGGGAGGCAGCAGUAGGGAAUCUUCCGCAGUGGACGAAAGUCUGACGGAGCAACGCCGCGUGAGUGAUGAAGGCUUUCGGGUCGUAAAACUCUGUUGUUAGGGAAGAACAAGUACGAGAGUAACUGCUUGUACCUUGACGGUACCUAACCAGAAAGCCACGGCUAACUACGUGCCAGCAGCCGCGGUAAUACGUAGGUGGCAAGCGUUAUCCGGAAUUAUUGGGCGUAAAGCGCGCGCAGGCGGUUUCUUAAGUCUGAUGUGAAAGCCCACGGCUCAACCGUGGAGGGUCAUUGGAAACUGGGGAACUUGAGUGCAGAAGAGAAAAGCGGAAUUCCACGUGUAGCGGUGAAAUGCGUAGAGAUGUGGAGGAACACCAGUGGCGAAGGCGGCUUUUUGGUCUGUAACUGACGCUGAGCGCGAAAGCGUGGGGAGCAAACAGGAUUAUAUACCCUGGUAGUCCACGCCGUAAACGAUGAGUGCUAAGUGUUAGAGGGUUUCCGCCCUUUUAGUGCUGCAGCUAACGCAUUAAGCACUCCGCCUGGGAGAGUACGGUCGCAAGACUGAAACUCAAAGGAAUUGACGGGGGCCCGCACGAGCGGUGGAGCAUGUGUUUAUUCGAAGCAACGCGAAGAACCAUACCAGGUCUGACAUCCUCUGACACUCUAGAGAUAGAGCGUUCCCCUUCGGGGACAGAGUGACAGGUGGUGCAUGUGUCGUCACCUCGGUCUGAAUGGUGUAAGUUCUGCACGAGCCAACCGUGAAUCUUAGUUGCCAAGCAUUAGUGGCACUCA
rnacentral:rRNA from 1 species